AACGAACGCUGGCGGCAUGCCUAACACAUGCAGGUCGAACGAGACCUUCGGGUCUAGUGGCGCACGGGUGCGUAACGCGUGGGAACCUGCCCUUAGGUUCGGAAUAACUCCCCGAAAGGGGUGCUAAUACCGGAUAAUGUCUUCGGACCAAAGAUUUAUCGCCUUUGGAUGGGCCCGCGUUGGAUUAGCUAGUUGGUAGGGUAAAAGCCUACCAAGGCGACGAUCCAUAGCUGGUCUGAGAGGAUGAUCAGCCACACUGGGACUGAGACACGGCCCAGACUCCUACGUGAGGCAGCAGUGGAGAAUAUUGGACAAUGGGCGAAAGCCUGAUCCAGCAAUGCCGCGUGAGUGAUGAAGGCCUUAGGGUUGUAAAGCUCUUUUACCCGGGAUGAUAAUGACAGUACCGGGAGAAUAAGCGCCGGCUAACUCCGUG
rnacentral:rRNA from 1 species